rnacentral:rRNA from 1 species
AGAGGGGGAUAAUCCAUGGAAACGUGGACUAAUACCGCAUAUUGUAGUUAAGUUGCAUGACUUGAUUAUGAAAGAUUUAUCGCUUAUGGAUGGACUCGCGUCAGAUUAGAUAGUUGGUGAGGUAACGGCUCACCAAGUCAACGAUCUGUAGCCGAACUGAGAGGUUGAUCGGCCGCAUUGGGACUGAGACACGGCCCAGACUCCUACGGGAGGCAGCAGUGGGGAAUAUUGCGCAAUGGGGGCAACCCUGACGCAGCAACGCCGCGUGCAGGAAGAAGGUCUUCGGAUUGUAAACUGUUGUCGCAAGGGAAGAAGACAGUGACGGUACCUUGUGAGAAAGUCACGGCUAACUACGUGCCAGCAGCCGCGGUAAUACGUAGGUGACAAGCGUUGUCCGGAUUUACUGGGUGUAAAGGGCGCGUAGGCGGACUGUCAAGUCAGUCGUGAAAUACCGGGGCUUAACCCCGGGGCUGCGAUUGAAACUGACAGCCUUGAGUAUCGGAGAGGAAAGCGGAAUUCCUAGUGUAGCGGUGAAAUGCGUAGAUAUUAGGAGGAACACCAGUGGCGAAGGCGGCUUUCUGGACGACAACUGACGCUGAGGCGCGAAAGUGUGGGGAGCAAACAGGAUUAGAUACCCUGGUAGUCCACACCGUAAACGA